CACGUGUAGCAGUGAAAUGCGUAGAGAUGUGGAGGAACACCGAUGGCGAAGGCAGCCCCCUGGGAUGACACUGACGCUCAUGUACGAAAGCGUGGGUAGCAAACAGGAUUAGAUACCCUGGUAGUCCACGCCCUAAACGAUGUCAACUGGUUGUUGGGGGAGUGAAAUCCCUUAGUAACGAAGCUAACGCGUGAAGUUGACCGCCUGGGGAGUACGGUCGCAAGAUUAAAACUCAAAGGAAUUGACGGGGACCCGCACAAGCGGUGGAUGAUGUGGAUUAAUUCGAUGCAACGCGAACAACCUUACCUACCCUUGACAUGUCCUGGAAUCCUGCAGAGAUGCGGGAGUGCCCGAAAGGGAAUCAGGAACACAGGUGCUGCAUGGCUGUCGUCAGCUCGUGUCGUGAGAUGUUGGGUUAAGUCCCGCAACGAGCGCAACCCUUAUCAUUAGUUGCUACGCAAGGGCACUCUAAUGAGACUGCCGGUGACAAACCGGAGGAAGGUGGUGAUGACGUCAAGUCCUCAUGGCCCUUAUGGGUAGGGCUUCACACGUCAUACAAUGGUCGGUACAGAGGGUUGCCAAGCCGCGAGGUGGAGCCAAUCCCAGAAAGCCGAUCGUAGUCCGGAUUGUUCUCUGCAACUCGAGUAGCAUGAAGUCGGAAUCGCUAGUAAUCGCGGAUCAGCAUGUCGCGGUGAAUACGUUCCCGGGUCUUGUACACACCGCCCGUCACACCAUGGGAGUGGAAUGCUGCCAGAAGUAGGUAGCCUAACCGCAAGGGGGGCGCUUACCACGGUGGGUUUCAUGACUGGGGUG
rnacentral:rRNA from 1 species